UACGUAGGGCGCAAGCGUUGUCCGGAAUUAUUGGGCGUAAAGAGCUCGUAGGCGGCUUGUCACGUCGGGUGUGAAAGCCCGGGGCUUAACCCCGGGUCUGCAUUCGAUACGGGCUGGCUGGAGUGUGGUAGGGGAGAUCGGAAUUCCUGGUGUAGCGAUGAAAUGCGCAGAUAUCAGGAGGAACACCGGUGGCGAAGGCGGGUCUCUGGGCCGAUAUUGACGCUGAGGAGCGAAAGCGUGGGGAGCAAACAGG
rnacentral:rRNA from 1 species